rnacentral:rRNA from 1 species
ACACGUAUGAAAGUCAAGCUGAAAGACUUUACUCAAUGAUGUAAGUGGUGGUGCAUGGUCGUUCUUAGUUCGUGGAUUGAUUUGUCUGGUCGAUUCCGAUAACGAGCGAGACCCCGGUGUUCCUAAUAGGGGGUCCAGCCCGUCCAGGCGCAAGCUUGGUCAGCUGGUCCCUAAGAUGAACUUCUUAGACACAUCAGGGCCGAUAAGGUCCUUGAAAUGGGUUAAUAACAGGUCAGUCAUGCCCUUAGAUGUUCUGGGCCGCACGCGCGUUACAAUGGCACGUAAAGCGAGUGCUUCUCAAAGGCGUUUCCCGGACCUAAAGGCCCGGGUAACCCUUAGUCCCUGCUUUGACUGGGACAGAUCUUUGCAAUUAUUGGUCUCUAACGAGGAAUUUUUAGUAAGCACGGGUCAUUAACCCGUGCUUA